AGCAGUAUGGCAUAGUGGUAAGGAGUAGGGCUUGCAACCUAAAAGUCGGUGGUUUGAUUCCCUGCUGAGG
rnacentral:tRNA from 1 species